GGGAUUGCCCUAGUAACGGGGAGUGAAGCGGCAACAGCUCAAAUUUGAAAUCUGGCUCUAGGGCCCGAGUUGUAAUUUGCAGAGGAUGAUUUUGGCGCGGUGCCUUCCGAGUUCCCUGGAACGGGACGCCUUAGAGGGUGAGAGCCCCGUACGGUUGGACAUCAAGCCUCUGUAAAUCUCCUUCGACGAGUCGAGUAGUUUGGGAAUGCUGCUCUAAAUGGGAGGUAAAUUUCUUCUAAAGCUAAAUACCGGCCAGAGACCGAUAGCGCACAAGUAGAGUGAUCGAAAGAUGAAAAGCACUUUGAAAAGAGGGUUAAAUAGCACGUGAAAUUGUUGAAAGGGAAGCAUUUACUACCAGACCUUCUCCCUGCGGAUCAUGCGGUGUUCUCACCGCUGCACUUCGCUUGGUUUAGGCCAGCAUCGGUUUUCGUAGAGGGAUAAAAGCUUUAGGAACGUAGCUCCCUCGGGAGUGUUAUAGCCUUUUGCAUAAUACCUUUACGGGGACCGAGGACCGCGCUUUUGCAAGGAUGCUGGCAUAAUGGUAGUCAAUGACCCGUCUUGAAACACGGACCAAGGAGUCGAACAUUUAUGCGAGUGUUUGGGUGUUAAACCCUCACGCGUAAUGAAAGUGAACGUAGGUGAGAGCCCUUACGGGUGCAUCAUCGACCGAUCUUGAUGUCUUCGGAUGGAUUUGAGUAAGAGCAUAACUGUUCGGACCCGAAAGAUGGUGAACUAUGCGUGGAUAGGGUGAAGCCAGAGGAAACUCUGGUGGAGGCUCGCAGCGGUUCUGACGUGCAAAUCGAUCGUCAAAUCUGCGCAUGGGGGCGAAAGACUUAUCGAACCAUUAAACCAGCGGUAAAAAUAUUUACUAGGUGGUUAAGAGGCCCUCUGUAAAGAGGAAAAGGCCUAGGUGACCUAUCCUGAAAGAUGCUACCCGGCACUUUCGGGUGGGAUACCGACAUCGCUAAAUUGCGGGAACAUCCUACUGUAAGGCUAGGGGUUACCGCCGCCUGCUGAAAAGCUCGGCGGCACUGGGAGUAGCGCUCUC
rnacentral:rRNA from 1 species